AGCUUUAUAUUCAAUAUAUGAUUUUAAAUUGCAAAUUUAAAGGUGAGAAUUAUUUCUAAGGCUU
rnacentral:tRNA from 1 species